UGACUGUGAGCUAUUUUUGUUCUCUAUAAUUUAGCUUGGGGUUUCCACUUGUGUAGAACUGUAACAAAUAAAGCAGGGCAUGUAGCAUGGGUGCAGCUCCUGUGCUGGGCACUAUUGACAUGCUUUGCACACGUAUAACAGGCAUGGGCAAAGGUGAGAGGGUCAUGGUGUACUGCACGGCCUGGAUGUGCACUGUGUGUAUGCGUGAGGCUGUAAAGGAGAACAACAAUGUGUAGCUUCUCGCUUCAGUCAUAAACAGAAAAAUACAAAAACAAACUCAACACAAAGCUAGUGCUGGGGGAAAACCAUCGAGUACCUUGUAUACAUCCUUUCUCUGGUUGAUUCUUGCUAUCGAUUCCUCUACGACGAGCCAAGAUCUGAGUCUCAUGUGUGUCCACAGGGGGAAAACAGAGGCGAGCGAGACUCCAGGCCUGUCAAUCUCCUUCAUUAUCAGCUAAUUUGAAUGGUUGUUGCCAGUAAGUGAAAUGGGAAUUGUACAUCAAGAUUCACGUAGCAGAAACGAAUUACCAGAGGGAGAUGGGUAGUCUGCAAAUGGUACAAAGGAUCUCUUUUGAGCUGAUCUGCUCCAAACGACUGGUUCAAACUGAACAAGGAAAUAAGCAAAUGGACAAGUCAUUAGAAACAACCUUGCGCAAAAUAAUUUGAAACAUCAUUAUGCAGUUUACUGUCAUUAGAAACAACCUUGCAUAAUAGUAUAAUUUAGUUCCAAAGUAUGUCCAGAGAUACAGGGGUACAGAUCUAGUACAUUUUAGUUUCAGAGUAUGGUCCAGAAUCAUACUAAAUCUACAAAACCAGUAUCCUUAUCUGAAAGCACCCACACAGUUCAUUUGAUAGAUGCAUUCAGCGGUAAAAGAAAAAAAGGAUGUUAGCAAAUUAGAGCUGCACACACACCUCCAAGGCUCCAAUAGUGUUUUGGCCUGUGUAGGAAACACGAACCCCCAAACACCUCGAGCUCCUUGCCCAGUGGGGGUGGAGGCAAUGGUGGCGCUUCUCAUGACGCAGAGGAGCCAACGACGCGGUCGAGCGGUGCCGGCGCCGCCCCGGACUAUAUCAAGAUUGGGCGAGACGAGGCGGCAACCAGGCGAGCAAGCACCAUCAUAGCGCCGUGGUUGGGGAGCAGCAGCGGUGUGCNN
rnacentral:lncRNA from 1 species